AGAAUAAGAAAAAGAUUUUGGAAAUGUGAUUAAGAUUUGUUAACCAUUCUCCCUUCUAGAACUUACGUGACUCUUCCCUUCCACACCAAUUUCUUUACAUUCAACUCCCACUAUUACACACUACACCAUAGACCACUCCCUGCGACAAAUCACACACCGCCAUUUUCAAACACACACACAUACUUAGAGACGCACCGUCGCCUCCCUCUGGUGAUCGCCCCAGCAACUCUUCUUCCUCUCUGCCGGUCUCCUCCACCCUGCUGCCGCCCUCUCUGCAUUGCUGCUGCCCUUCCGGCGACGUCAUCGCCGUUUUCCGGCAGCUUUAGGCUAGGCUUGUCUUCCCUUUGUGUAAUCCUCGCCCGAGGGAUAGCACGGGCAAGGAGAAGGCAAAGGAGUAAAGUGACCUAGCACGGCAUUUUAGAUUUUGAGAUUAGGUGAUCAGACUUUCUUUUGCUGUACAGCUGCUCAAGUCGGGUCACUAGCCAAGCUUUUGCGUUGGGUAAUUCUUUUGGAUUUUAUAAAUGUGGCAUGUAUUAGAAGUGUAAUGUACCUUGGACGUUAUAUUACUUCAUAAACUUUUGCUAAGCACGUAUAUUUUGUGAGGA